rnacentral:rRNA from 1 species
AACGAACGCUGGCGGCAGGCUUAACACAUGCAAGUCGAACGGGCGUAGCAAUACGUCAGUGGCGGACGGGUGAGUAACACGUGGGAAUAUGCCUUUCGGUUCGGAACAACUCGGGGAAACCCGUGCUAAUUCCGGAUACGCCCUUACGGGGAAAGGAUUAUCGCCGAAAGAUUAGCCCGCGUUGGAUUAGCUAGUUGGUGAGGUAAAGG